rnacentral:rRNA from 1 species
AUUGAACGCUGGCGGCAUGCUUUACACAUGCAAGUCGAACGGUAACAGGCCUUCGGGCGCUGACGAGUGGCGAACGGGUGAGUAAUGCAUCGGAACGUGCCCAGUCGUGGGGGAUAACGCAGCGAAAGCUGUGCUAAUACCGCAUACGAUCUAUGGAUGAAAGCGGGGGACCGUAAGGCCUCGCGCGAUUGGAGCGGCCGAUGUCAGAUUAGGUAGAUGGUGGGGUAAAGGCUCACCAAGCCAACGAUCUGUAGCUGGUCUGAGAGGACGACCAGCAACACUGGAACUGAGACACGGUCCAGACUCCUACGGGAGGCAGCAGUGGGGAAUUUUGGACAAUGGGCGCAAGCCUGAUCCAGCAAUGCCGCGUGCAGGAAGAAGGCCUUCGGGUUGUAAACUGCUUUUGUACGGAACGAAACGGCGAGCUCUAAUACAGUUUGCUAAUGACGGUACCGUAAGAAUAAGCACCGGCUAACUACGUGCCAGCAGCCGCCGUAACAC